rnacentral:rRNA from 1 species
UACGAAGGUUGCAAGCGUUACUCGGAAUUACUAGGCGUAAAGGGCAGGUAGGUGGUUUGGUAAGUCUAUUGUGAAAGCUCCUGGCUUAACUGGGAGAGGUCAAUAGAUACUGCUGAACUUGAGUAUAGGAGAGGGUACUGGAAUUCCCGGUGUAGCGGUGAAAUGCGCAGAGAUCGGGAGGAACACCAAUGGCGAAAGCAGGUACCUGGACUAUUACUGACACUAAGCUGCGAAAGCUAGGGGAGCAAAC